rnacentral:rRNA from 1 species
GACAGAGGUGCCAAGCGUUAGGCGGAAUCACUGGGCUUAAAGCGUGUGUAGGCGGAUUUGUAAGUACCUUGUGAAAUCCCACGGCUCGACCGUGGAACUGCUCGGUAUACUGCUUAUCUUGAGCCACUUAGGGGCUACCGGAACAAAUGGUGGAGCGGUGAAAUGCGUAGAUAUCAUUUGGAACGCCAAUGGUGAAAACAGGUAGCUGGGAGUGUGCUGACGCUGAGACACGAAAGCCAGGGGAGCGAACGGG